rnacentral:rRNA from 1 species
AUUGAACGCUGGCGGCAGGCCUAACACAUGCAAGUCGAGCGGAUGAAGGGAGCUUGCUCCUGGAUUCAGCGGCGGACGGGUGAGUAAUGCCUAGGAAUCUGCCUGGUAGUGGGGGAUAACGUCCGGAAACGGGCGCUAAUACCGCAUACGUCCUGAGGGAGAAAGUGGGGGAUCUUCGGACCUCACGCUAUCAGAUGAGCCUAGGUCGGAUUAGCUAGUUGGUGGGGUAAAGGCCUACCAAGGCGACGAUCCGUAACUGGUCUGAGAGGAUGAUCAGUCACACUGGAACUGAGACACGGUCCAGACUCCUACGGGAGGCAGCAGUGGGGAAUAUUGGGCAAUGGGCGGAAGCAUGAUCCAGCGAUGGCGCGUGUGUGAAGAAGGUCUUCGGAUUGUAAAGCACUUUAAGUUGGGAGGAAGGGCAGUAAAUUAAUACCUUGCUGUUUUGACGUUAAUAACAGAAUAAGCACCGGCUAACUUCGUG